CCCUCUUCCCUUCAUUUUACAAACCCUAGCCAAUGCACCACUCUAUUGAGCAUCGCUGUUCGUCGUCACCGUCGUCUUCACCAUUCAAGCCAAGUUUGGUCCAAAAUCAAGCUUUGCUUUUGAUGAUGAGAUUGAUGAUUAACUCAAGGCUUAUGGUCUGCAUGAAUGAUUCACUUGCAAAAUGGUGGAUUAAAAUGGAAUGUAGGUAGUAGCUUUGGAAACCCAAGGAUGAGUGGAGGUAUUCGAAUUAUAAGGGAUGCAGGGGAAUUUUGUUGCUGCCUUCUCAACAAAUUAUGGAAUUGGUUUUAAUAGUUUGGUAGAGGUUUUAAUGGAUUUAACAGCAAUUGUAUAGAAAAAUAUGUUUAUUUUGCAAUUUUUCUCUUGGUAGCUUUGUACUAGUGUUUUGCUCACUCCUUAGAUUUGUAUUGAUUUGUACUAGUGUAUUGAUAUUGAUUUGUAUGGAAAAGAAACCAAACAGAUAGAGUGGGUGUAGAAUUUCAAGAAAUGGAU